UGGGGAAUUUUGGACAAUGGGCGAAAGCCUGAUCCAGCAAUGCCGCGUGUGUGAAGAAGGCCUUCGGGUUGUAAAGCACUUUUGUCCGGAAAGAAAUCCUUGGCUCUAAUACAGUCGGGGGAUGACGGUACCGGAAGAAUAAGCACCGGCUAACUACGUGCCAGCAGCCGCGGUAAUACGUAGGGUGCAAGCGUUAAUCGGAAUUACUGGGCGUAAAGCGUGCGCAGGCGGUUUGCUAAGACCGAUGUGAAAUCCCCGGGCUCAACCUGGGAACUGCAUUGGUGACUGGCAGGCUAGAGUAUGGCAGAGGGGGGUAGAAUUCCACGUNUAGCAGUGAAAUGCGUAGAGAUGUGGAGGAAUACCGAUGGCGAAGGCAGCCCCCUGGGCAAUACUGACGCUCAUGCACGAAAGCGUGGGGAGCAAACAGGAUUAGAUACCCUGGUAGUCCACGCCCUAAACGAUGUCAACUAGUUGUUGGGGAUCAUUUCCUUAGUAACGUAGCUAACGCGUGAAGUUGACCGCCUGGGGAGUACGGUCGCAAGAUUAAAACUUAAAUGAAUUGA
rnacentral:rRNA from 1 species